CUGGAAACCCACCCAGCCUUUUGCAGUUUUGCUAUGCCUGGCUCCUCCUAUGUCGCUGCUGCGCCGAAACAGAUCCAGAGAGAGGUGAGGGGGAUGAGCUCGAGCUCGAGCUCGGUGGAGGGAGGAGAUGGCCGGGAAGAGGAACCGCUCCAGCGGAGGAGAAGAGGGCGACGACGAGAGGAACCGCCCGGGGGAGGAGAAGAGCUCGAAGAAGAGGGGAACGCUUCCUCGCAUGGUACGGCGGCAAGGGUGGAAAUAAGACGGCACAUAAUUGGGAAACAAAAUUGAGACCAUUCGUUGAGCAGUGGAGAACAGCAAGCUUGGUUCACUGGCACGAGGAGGCGCUCUUCGACCGAGCUGCGCAUGAGGCUCACCUACGGUGGUACCGGCCACAGAUGAGAUUGCGCUGCAUACCAAGAGCUGACCCUGAGGACAUGGAGACGGCUCACACUUCGGCUUCGGAGACGUACUAGAGUUCUUCAGUGACCAGCGUCAUAGAUCACUCGGCCCAGUUGAUGCUGGAGGCUCAAGAGGAGACUGCCGUGAUAAUUAACCGAGUGACCAUGGGGAUCGAAAUGACUCCGUCCGAGAAUCUAGCAGCGUGGCAGCGUACUUAGAGCAAGCUGCGGAGGAUCUUCGAGACUUUGAGGCAUAGGGUGCAUCUGACACCCUGUCUAGUCGGGAAGCACACACUCCCCCAUGCCCCUCACACCGUGCUAGGCCGAUGUUCCAGCCAACGGUCCGCCUGCUGCCUCCACCUUCCCCUAUGCAGUCCGGUGGCUCCUCCUGGUACCACCAGCCUCACCCCCCUCCUGCUCAACUCUCAGUGAUGGUGACAACAGAUACUCCACCACCGCCGGCCUCACAGGUCACCCUGGCCAUGCCACCUCCGGCGCAAUCCCAUACCCGCAAGAGACAUCGCCAUCCUACUCGUAGUCGUAGAAGUGCUGCGCAGGGUUGUGGACAGCGAGGACAGGAGGACGAAACAGGUGCUUAGGACGAACAGACGGUUAGUGGUGUCCCACUAUGUGAUUUGACUUUCUUGACUUCAUUAUAUCCAUAUAUGUAGCACUAUUCAACUUUGUGGUAAAAAGCACAUAUUCCUUUUAAUAAAACUAUAAAGACACAUAUUCAACUCUGCAGACAUUAUAGUAGCAUGAUGCAUCCUUAGGCAGACUCCUUUGAGAAACAAUACAAUACUUCAAAUAAACAGCAGAGCGAUUCCUUUCGGAUUUUUCUCUGAUAAAUGGCAAAUAUUAUUACAUUACCAGAAGUUCAAGAGAGAAAUGAAAAAUAUCUUCAAAACAAUUAACUUUGUUUAAACACACAAGGCAUACUGCGGAUAUGCAGUGCCUUCAGCUCAUUCAGUUUGUUCACUCUAGAAAACUUCAUCUGCUUUAAAUUUCGCCAUCCCAAAGGUCCUCCAAGGUUUUGUAAACGCUUAGAGGGUGAACCGCAAAUUCCCCUUUCAUCAACCUUGCCUGCAUUUUUCAAGUCAAACCAGAUAUCAGAUGUGAAUAAUGAGAGUGUAAGGACUGGAGCUAUCCAAUGAUAUAUUGCCGAGAAAAGAAUGGUCUUGAUCUUUGAAGUAUUGUCGAUUUUCAAGUUAUGUUAGAUAACAGAAGGAACAAGCGUUAAGACUUCAGACAUGCCUGUUUGAUUUCGGAGAACUUUGCCAUUAAAUCUUCAGGAAUGGACCACUCAAAUAUGUCAAAGUUCUCCUUAAUCCUUGCUUCAUUGGUGCUUUUUGGAAGUACACUCUGACCCAUUUGAAGACACCAGCGUAAGGCAACCUGAGCAGGCGUUUUCUGCAACUUCUCAGCAACAGAGAUGACAAUAGGAUUGCUAAGGACGAUAGCCCCACUGACCCCAGGUAGAGAUGAUCCAGGCGAACCUAAUGGCGAAAAUGCCUGCAAGUGACAGUUUAUUUCAACACAUGGAAGCGGCGCAGUACCGAUUAUCAACAAACCAAGAUAGCAGCUUACAAAACUGAAAGAAAUGCUACAGCAUUAGACAUAUCAAGCUUACAGAAAGAUGAACACCCCUCGAAUGGCAUAGUUUUUGGAGCUUGUCUUGCUGCCAAAUCAGAUGACAUUCAACCUGGUUGACUGCUGGAGGCACACGUGCAAUGGCAAGCAAAUCCUCAAUCUUCUUGCAAGAGAAGCUACUCACACCAAUUGCUCGAGCUUUGCCAGAGUCGUAUAGCUUCUCCAUCGCUUCCCAUGUAGCAGGAAUAUCAGGUGGGAGAAUGUUUUCAUGGCUCGGCGUAGUCCCUUUCUUCAUGGCUCGGCGUAGUCCCUUUCUUCACUGUUAAAAAAAAGUCAGCUAUUAGUAUAGAAUGGGGACUGCUGCCAAUUUAUGCAAGAACUAUGGCAUAGAUAUCCAAUCUGGUAAUUCUAGUAUGAUUUCUUCUUUUGGAUUGCAACUAAUAUGUAGUGACUAUAGGCUAGCACUGUAUAAGAAUAGGGCCAAGCCAUACGGAAAAUAAUUGGGAACUCAUGAUAUUGUUUGCUCCUUCCAUUUCAAUGUUCAGUUAAUUAUAGGCACAUCUACAUAUAUACCAGUUAAUUAAACGGAUAAUUGAGUUUAAUACCAAGGAUAGGAAUUUACAAGGAACAAAUCUAAGAAGCCAAGGUGCAAAUCUUUAAGAGUAGUGUCAAUUGCCUCCGGCACAUCUUCAGGUGCAUGAUCACCAAACCUGGAUAAUUCAGAGGCAAGACGGGAAUUAUUUCACAUGUUCCUUUAACCGAGGCUGGGAAAUGAAGCCUAACCAUAGCUUAGAGGUGACAAACAAGUCUUCACGCUCAAUCACACCAUCCUCAAACAAUUUCUUUAAAGCCAAGCCAACCUACACAAGUAAUUAAUACUUCGAUUUAGUUAGAAAUAUUUCCAAAUCAAAAUAAUAACAUUUGAACUCUAGAAGGCUUCUUGAAAUGUGUGCUUGUUAUUUCCACUUUCAUUGAUACUCCCUCCGGUCCUUUUUAGUCCGCAUAUAAUUUUGUCCAAAGUCAAAGUAUGUCUAUUUUGACCAAAUUUAUAAAAAUACGUAUCAACAUUCACAAUGCCAAAUCAACAUUGCUAGAUUCAUUAUGAAAUGUAGUUUCAUAGUAUAUAUAUUUGGUAUUGUAGAUGUUGAUAUUUUUUAAUAUAAAUUUGGUCAAACUUUGUAAAGUUUGACUUGACGCAAAUCUAAUACGCGGAGUAAAAAGGACCGGAGGGAGCAUAUACUACUUUGCACACCCUUUUUGCCAUCUCAUUGUUUGUCCCUGCAUCUAAAUUUCAGAGCUGAAGUAUUUCCUUCUCACUUGUCCCUUUUAAAAGCAUGCUCUUCAUGUCGUAGAAUUCAAAUAUUUAGACCAACAUGAUAUUCAUGUGGGAUUAAACAAUCAUGGACUAGUGAAACAUACACGAACUAUUGUUCUGCUGACUAAUCAGUCCAAAUGAAGUAUUUAACCCGUUACAAAAAAAAGAAAAGAAGAAACGGGUUGCAGCAUGCACAUUGAGCUAUUGAAGGGACAUACAUGCGACCGAAUACUGUGGUGCAAGUAUAAUUACUAAUACCUGUUUUUGUUGUUGUUGAGAGAACUAAUUAAUAUACCUGUUUCUGAUUGUGGUAUGCUGGAGCACAAUCGAUAUGCCGAUAUCCAGCCUGCCAGAAAAGCAUGAAGCUUUCAGAAAGGAAAACAAGGGAAAUAUAUCUGAUAUUAUCUCAGAACUUCAUAACACAAGCACGUGUUUGUUGAAGUGAGCAGGUAAUACCCAAAGAUUCACAAACCAUCAAGGAUGAUUAAAGCGACAGGAAAUGACCUUGACAGCAGCGUAGAUGGCGUCGCCGACAACAUCAGGCUCUAUCUGCCAUGUGCCGAGGCCGAUCGGUGGGAUCCUUGCGCCGGUGUUCAGGAUGAAGGACCCGGCCAUCUUUGGAGCAAGGCAGGAGAGGAAGAAUAUGGAAGAUGAUGGGUACGGUGGGCCUGGGUUUGGUUGUGGGGGUAUACCUAUUCGUUCUACAGCAACUACACAUAUAUUGUAUGCGACCCAGUGACCUGCUCACACUCCAUUAUCAGUGAUAGUAUAUAUAAGAUUAUAAAGGGUGACUGACCGACCGACCGACGGAUGAUUUUGUUUC